UAUCGGGUAUGCUAGCCUGAUGAGGUCGU
rnacentral:sRNA from 1 species